UAGGGAAUUUUGCGCAAUGGGCGAAAGCCUGACGCAGCAACACCGCGUGAGCGAUGAAGCCCUUCGGGGUGUAAAGCUCUGUCGGCAGGGACGAAUAAAUGACGGUACCUGCAAAGGAAGCAUCGGCUAACUACGUGCCAGCAGCCGCGGUAAGACGUAGGAUGCAAGCGUUGUCCGGAAUUAUUGGGCGUAAAGAGUUCGUAGGCGGCAUAUCAAGUCUAGUGUUAAAGCCCGGGGCUCAACUCCGGUAGGGCACUGGAUACUGAUAAGCUAGAGUGUAGUAGAGGCAAGGGGAAUUCCCAGUGUAGCGGUGAAAUGCGUAGAUAUUGGGAGGAACACCAGUGGCGUAAGCGCCUUGCUGGGCUAUAACUGACGCUGAGGAACGAAAGCCAGGGGAGCA
rnacentral:rRNA from 1 species